GACGGGAGUUGCUUCUAUCAAUUGAUCCUAUUCUAUUAAGACUAAUUUUGUUUGUAUACUCGACAGAUCACGAAAACUGCUUAAAGGGGUAUUUUAAAAACUUCAGAAGUGUCCGUUGUGGAAUCUGUUUGUGAAGAAUGAGGGAAUUCGGCCAAAUUAUUCCUCAACAUUGAUCGUUUUACCAAAGAAAAUAUAAGGUUCAUGAUUUGGGAAUUUCUAUCAGAAUCGAUGAAUGGGAGAAUACAAAUAAGCUAGCUGAGAGUAAUAGUAUUGGUUUGGAGGAGUGGUUGAGGCGACUGGAUGCACCGGUCGCUUCUCCACCACCAGCAUCCCCACCAGCAGCAUCUCCACCGCCAGCCAUCCAACCACUGGCAGCAUCCCC